UAGGGAAUCUUCGGCAAUGGACGAAAGCCUGACCGAGCAACGCCGCGUGAGUGAAGAAGGUUUUCGGAUCGUAAAACUCUGUUGUUAGAGAAGAACAAGGACGUUAGUAACUGAACGUCCCCUGACGGUAUCUAACCAGAAAGCCACGGCUAACUACGUGCCAGCAGCCGCGGUAAUACGUAGGUGGCAAGCGUUGUCCGGAUUUAUUGGGCGUAAAGCGAGCGCAGGCGGUUUCUUAAGUCUGAUGUGAAAGCCCCCGGCUCAACCGGGGAGGGUCAUUUGAAACUGGGAGACUUGAGUGCAGAAGAGGAGAGUGGAAUUCCAUGUGUAGCGGUGAAAUGCGUAGAUAUAUGGAGGAACACCAGUGGCGAAGGCGGCUCUCUGGUCUGUAACUGACGCUGAGGCUCGAAAGCGUGGGGAGCAAACAGG
rnacentral:rRNA from 1 species